rnacentral:rRNA from 1 species
AGGAUAAACGCUGGCGGCGUGCAUGAGACAUGCAAGUCGAACGGACGAUCAGGGCUUGCUCUGAUCGUUAGUGGCGGACGGCUGAGUAACGCGUAGGUGACCUGCCCCGAAGUGGGGAAUAACUGCCCGAAAGGGUGGCUAAUACCGCAUGUGGUGGUGUGUUCAUUCACACCAGUAAAGCCGCAAGGCGCUUCGGGAGGGGCCUGCGUCCGAUUAGCUCGUUGGUGGGUAACGGCUCACCAAGGCGACGAUCGGUAGGUGGUCUGAGAGGACGAUCACCCAGACUGGGACUGAGACACGGCCCAGACUCCUACGGGAGGCAGCAGUCGGGAAUUUUGCGCAAUGGACCGAAAGUCUGACGCAGCAACGCCGCGUGAGGGAUGAAGGCCUUCGGGUUGUAAACCUCUUUUAUCAGGGAAGAUAAUGACGGUACCUGAUGAAUAAGUCACGGCUAACUACGCGCCAGCAGCCGCGGU